rnacentral:lncRNA from 1 species
AGGGCUUAUUCCCGAUUGUCCCACUUUUUUUUAAAUUAAGAGCUCAUAUUGUCCCACAUGAAAAGUUCUGACUGGUCCACAUUAUUUUAUGAGGCGAAAUGUUCUUAUCCCUUGUUAGAUUGUCUCUAUGGUUUUGUUUCAGAUAUAUAAGCCAAAAUCUACAUUUUAUGGAAUGCUCUUCUUUUAGACAUUGCGGCCAUCUUAAUUAUUGGGCGGGGUCAUCGGAUUUUUUUUGAAACUAAAUACCCUAAGGAUGAUUUUGGCCAUGUUUGCUUUAAUUUUGCCAGUAGUUUCAGAAGAGAAGAUUUUUGUAAAAAUUAAUGACGACGACGAAUAAUGAGAAAAUGAGAAAAGCUCACUUAGUCCUAUGGUCCAGGUGAGCUAAAAAGCAAAACGGACAAAAAGCAACGGACAAAAAGCAAAAGUGUCGGACAAAAAGCAAAAUUAUCGGACAAAAAGCAAAACGGACAAAAAGCAACGGACAAAAAGCAAAAGUAUCGGACAAAAAGCAAAAUUAUCGGACAAAAAGCAAAACGGACAAAAAAGCAACGGACAAAAAGCAAAAGUAUCGGACAAAAAGCAAAAUGCUACGUUUUCAGUGACAAACAUUACAAAGUCGUGUUCAAAAUAAUCAGUUGGAUAAGGAACAGUAUAUUGUGUAAAAUAAUAAUAAACAAAAAUUAAAAAACAAACAAAUUAUUAAAUAAAUGCAUUUUUGUAAAGUUUCAAACAUAAUUUAGAAAGUUACUUUGAACUUUUCCAAACCGUAUUCAUUAUGUAUAGUGGUUGAUUUUUUGUUUAUCGUUUCGUAAAUAUCAAAAUCGUUUUUUUUCUCUUUUGAGGCAUAUGGUAGAAAGAUUUCAUAUCGAAUGUACUAAAUUUGGGGUCCGACGUCCGUGGAACUUUUCACUAUUUGAACUUCUAUUAGGGAACCACAUAAAAGGAUCAAUAUAUGAAUCUGUUAUUUUUCUCCAUUGUUGAAACGUAUGAUAAAAAAAAUCAUGUAUUAUCAGCCCGCGGUCAAUAUCAGCCCUCGAGCCAUGUGGCUCUUGGUCUGAUAUUGAACCUAGGGCUGAUAAUGCUUGCGAUAUGAAAAAUGCCAUGUGAUAAUCUGAUAUUAUUCUGUUUCAAAUUGAUUAAAAAGUGUGUUUCAUUUAGAUUUCUGAAGACAAUAUGGUCGAUAUUUGUUAAAUGAGCAGACAACUAAUAAAGACUUAUUUUUUAUAUACCUUGUAUCCAUGAAAAUAACAUCUGCUUUAAGAGACAGAUGAGCAAAAU